ensembl:misc_RNA
UCACAAAAGGAAAAUACAGGGGGAAGGGAGGGGUCUCGUUGACUUGGAGAGAAUGGAAAAGAACCAGCCCAGCACUGGAAAGCCCCCUGGUGCCAGGCUGUACCUCCUU